rnacentral:rRNA from 1 species
GAUGAACGCUGGCGGCGUGCUUAACACAUGCAAGUCGAACGAUGAAGCCCAGCUUGCUGGGUGGAUUAGUGGCGAACGGGUGAGUAACACGUGAGUAACCUGCCCUUAACUCUUGGAUAAGCCUGGGAAACUGGGUCUAAUACCGGAUAGGAGCGUCCACCGCAUGGUGGGUGUUGGAAAGAUUUAUCGGUUUUGGAUGGACUCGCGGCCUAUCAGCUUGUUCGUGAGGUAAUGGCUCACCAAGGCAACGACGGGUAGCCGGCCUGAGAGGGUGACCGGCCACACUGGGACUGCGACAGGGACCAGACUCCUACGGGAGGCAGCAGUGGGGAAUAUUGCACAAUGGGCGCAAGCCUGUUGCAGCGACGCCGCGUGAGGGAUGACGGCCUUCGGGUUGUAAACCUCUUUCAGUAGGGAAGAAGCGAAAGUGACGGUACCUGCAGAAGAAGCACCGGCUAACUACGUG